rnacentral:rRNA from 1 species
AGAGUGAACGCUGGCGGUAGGCCUAACACAUGCAAGUCGAACGGCAGCACAGGAGAGCUUGCUCUCUGGGUGGCGAGUGGCGGACGGGUGAGGAAUACAUCGGAAUCUACCUUUUCGUGGGGGAUAACGUAGGGAAACUUACGCUAAUACCGCAUAAGACCUUCGGGUGAAAGCCGGGGACCUUCGGGCCUGGCGCGGAUAGAUGAGCCGAUGUCGGAUUAGCUUGUUGGCGGGGUAAAAGCCCACCAAGGCGACGAUCCGUAGCUGGUCUGAGAGGAUGAUCACGCCACACUGGAACUGAGACACGGUCCAGCUCCUACGGGAGCAGCAGGUGGGAAUAUGGAACAAGUGACG